CCAUACCAGCCGGGGAGAUAGCGGAGCCCUGUACCUGCAAUCCGCUACAGCAGGGGUGGAUUCCACUCUUGAGAGUCGAUCUUUUCUGAAUUGAGUUUGUUUUCUUGUGUUGAGAAGCGGGUCUUGCGCAAUGCGGAGCCGUGAACCAUGUCAGGUGGGGAACCAAGCAGCAUUAAGCGGUGCACCGUAUGUGCCGCGAGGGUGCCUGCUUUGAGCAAGAAAACAAAAGAUCGCAGGGAAGUGACACCCGAGAGAGCGGUGUAUGG
rnacentral:SRP_RNA from 1 species